UCAGAAUGACCAUAUGCCUUUCAUUUUGUAGCUUCGGGUGACAGCGGCUCGCUUCAAGAGCAGGUGAAGCUAUUUGGGACAAUGCUGAAGAUGUUUGCUCGCACUGGGCAAUCGGGUACAACUUGCAAACAACACCUGUGGUUGUUGAUUUAAUUCCCACUGGGUCCACAUGUGCAGAUCAGACCCUAGUGCUGCGACGUCUUGGAGAGUUUGGCGAUGUUGUGCGUAGCAUGGAAAACAAAAUGGACACUAUGCUGCAACAUUUCAGUGCCAAUGUGUCUGUUGGAGAGCUAUCCCUGCCAGGGGAUGUUACUCCCCCUAGACACCCAGGAAGAUUUGGUGUUUCUUGACAGCAUUUUGAGGGAGGAUAAAGAGCUCCAGGAACGAUUUGGGCCCUCCGGAAGAACCCGGCAACCCAGGAUGCCACUGAUGAGGCGGUCCAGGUUAACGUUACACGUUACCUGAAAGGAGCAUCAGACUGUGAAGGAGGAAAAAGCCGCC